GAGCCUGUGCUCCGCAACGGGAGAGGCCACAGCAGUGAGAGGCCCGAGUACUGCAAAAAAAAAAAAAAAAAAGUAGCAUUAGUAGAAAAGGUAAGUAAGAAUGAGUUGUGGAGUCUUUUAUUGUUUGGCCAUCAUACAAUUUGAAAUGUAGGAUCAUGAGCUUUUAUAUAGCCUUUUACUUAUCGCCCAGAGCAUCCAGCCCCCGAACUUCACAAAAGCAAGUACUUUGCGAAGAGGUUUGCGGGCGGGGAAAGAAAUCUUCUCUCCUUGUCUUAGGGUUAUUAGCUCGGGCCCUGUGAAUGUAACCGACAAAAGACAGAUUAAAAAGAAAAACAGACUGUUAACAUUUGCAGCGCCCCUACACACGGAGUAACUGGUGAUGGGCGGGCUUACGUAGCGAUUUAUCAAAAGAACAAAACAUUUGUAGAGAAGCCACAAGACAAAGGAAAAGGACCUUGAGUUUCUAGGGCGGCCAAUUGUGGGAAGGCAAAUAUAUGGGAAACUGAUGGGAGACAAGAACUAGUUAGUAAAGUUGGUUAUGCAGAUUCCUCCAGUGCCACCUCUGGGCUGAUGAGGGUCUAGAGUUUUCUCCCGUGAUUGACUUCUGCCCUUUCUGGUAGAUUGGGGGCGGGGGGGGACACCUUUGCAAACUUAUGUCCUGCUCUUAGGAAGUAGGGAGAGAGCAGCGAGCUUUUCUUGUAUCAGCUUAAUUGCCUUUAGCUCAAUAUAAUCCUUAUGCCAAACUGGCACGGUUUGGUGCAGCGUAUUCUGCUGCCCAUCAGGUUCUAGGGCUGUCCUCAAAAUGAGUUGUGAAGGAAAGUGUUACUAAGUGUGGAAAUAUGCACUACGUAUAGAAAUAGAUGGACAUGUGGUCUCCUCUAACACAAGCAAAAUAUUUUAAAAUAAUGACAACAAACUGGGCAACAACUCUGAAGCUUCCUGAGUCUUUUAAUAAAUGUAAAGCUUAAAACUUAUUUUUUUUUUAGAAAUGAUAUAUACUUAUUAUGGAAAAUCUGCUCAGAGAUUCUCAUUGUUAAUAUUUCAGCACCCUAUUCCAGUCUUUUAAAAUGUAUUUCAAAAAGAAAAAUAUAUCUCAAGACUACACUGGGUAUUUACAUAUAAAUGUAAACCUAAUAUAUAUUUUCAAAAGUUUUUACUGUAAUGGGAAAAUAUUCAUUGCAUAAUAUGGAGUAAAAGUUAGCAGAUACAAAGCUAUGUAGUAUAAUCACAUUUUUAUACAAGUGUUCUACUCGUAUAUAUAAUAUAUAAAAGAAAAAAUAAGAAAAAGGAAACAUAUGAAGAAAAGACACAACUCUCCAUACACGUAUAUGUACUUUACUCCCAUGGUGUCAUACAUGAAUAAAAUCGCACCAUUUGGAUAGACUGUGAGGUGAAAGUGCACUGGACUUGCCCUAGAAUCUGGGCUUGAGUUGGACAUGGUGUGACCUUGGGCGAGCUCCUUCCCCUCCCAGACUCAGCUUCCAAAUCUAAGAGGGGAACAGUAACGCCUCCCUCUCAAUCUGUUGUGAGAAUGAAGUGAUCUUAUGAAUGUAAAGGUGUUUAGUACCGUGCCCAGCCCAGAGUAAGCCCUCUAUUACUCUGUUUUCCUGAACCCCAGCUCAUCCUGCCUGAAGUUCAAAGUUUUCUCCACUAGAUGGUGAUGGUAGAAAGAUAAAAUGAGUAAACCAUGCCAGCCUCUAACCAGGUUUAAACUUCCUUUUUAAAUCAGCAUAAAUACAAAUAAGUGUAAACUCUGUUAUAAGGUUGCAGUAAAUGAGUUCAAUGUAAAGCAGUAAGCCCUCGGCUUAAGUGUCCUCCGUUAAUCCCUCACUGCUUUCUUGUCUUCAGCCGGACUUGGCGCUCUCUUUGAGCAGUGUAACCAUGUCUGUUCUCUGCCCCAGAAUCGCAAUGGGGAUGACAGAUGCCGCGUGUGGCUCAACUCUCAGAUCAGCCAUCUAUUCAGUGGCCACCGGGAAAGCCUCAGGCUGGUGCAGGUCCCGCGUGCUGCCGUGUAAUACGCCUCCUAGUGUUAUCGAACCUCAGGCGUCAUCUUGGCCCUCGUAAUCAUACCCAAGUCAAGGGGAAGGCAGACUCAGAAGUCACGACUGCGUCCUGAUUUACAAAUCGGAGGCGGAGGGGCACGAACACCACACACCAGACAGGAACUUAGUCGGACUCACCACCAAGAUGCUGAAAGUGAAGCGGCUGGAAGAAAUCAGCACAUGUUACCACAGUGACCAGCUGGAGAAAAUGGCCUUUUUUCAGUGCAUGGAAGAGGUGGAGAAAGUGAAGUGUAUUCUGGAAGAAAGUUCUAGUGAACAGGAUUCGAGAUCUGGGAAGAGUGAGGUAACUGUGCUAAUUUAGUCUCCUGAAAAGUGUCAGUUCUACUUUAUCUUUUCUCACAUAAAGCAAUACCUGUCGCCGUUUAUACGAC